rnacentral:rRNA from 1 species
UACAGAGGGCCCGAGCGUUGUUCGGAUUCACUGGGCGUAAAGGGUGCGUAGGUGGUGAGGUAAGCCGGAUGUGAAAUCUCCGGGCUCAACCCGGAAAUGGCAUUGGAAACUACCUUGCUUGAGGAUUUGAGGGGGGAGUGGAAUACUUGGUGUAGCAGUGAAAUGCGUAGAUAUCAAGUGGAACACCAGUGGCGAAGGCGCUCUACUGGACCGCAACUGACACUCAGGGACGAAAGCUAGGGGAGCGAAUGGG